UAACCAAGACAAUCUGCAGUAUUGUGUUGAAGGAGAAGAGAGUGUGCAGGGAUAUUAACGGGACUCGUUAAAAUGAUUGCAGGAUUAACGGGAAGAAAUAAAUUGAUAUCCACCAAACAAAACUUUGAAAUCCGAAAGGUCCUUGUUUCUAAAAUGCCACUUAUGGACAUGAUAAUUGGUUUACCAGAAGGAAAAAUAUAAAAAUAGAGCCUGUUAUACAUGGCGGUACUAUACAACAUGUACCGUACCCAACCUCGGCUUGAUUUCAUUGUUUUCUAGAGAGGGUCCUCGGAGCUCUAGGGCAUUGGCGGAAGGAAGAUGGACACUUUCCAGGAUUCUAGGGAGGAGCUGCGAAGCGGUAAAAAACCCGGCCUGGUGGCGCUGCAUACUUGGUUUAAUUUGUGCUUGUUAAUUGGACCCGGAUCAUGUAAACCCUAUCCUACACCUAGGUAAUUUGAACCCUGGUUAAUUGAGCCCGCGUAGCUCUGUCUCUGAGCCUCCGUUCUCCCGUUUCCGCACUUAAAUUAAUACAGCUCUGGUACCCAGAGUAGCCCAGGUGAAAUCUGAAUUCACCCUAGGUAGAUUACUAGCAGAGUUAACAGGGCUUAAGAGGCUCAGAGACAGAGGCCUGGAAUUGUAUUCGAAAGUUCAUUGUCCUCAUUAUUAGCUAAACAUUGAUAGCUUUUUUGAGACUUUUUCACUAAAUCGUUUUACGUAGAACAAUGAUAUAAUUUGUUUUGGAGUAUUAUUAUAAUAUUUUUUUGUAGGAUCAAGCCCACGAACUGCUGGUCACGUUAAGUUUUGUUAACGGAAUUUCAUGCUGAUCAAGUAAUGAGAAUCGAAUGCAAGAGCCUUUGAACUUGCCACUGCCAUAUGCAUCAUUUGAAACAACAGCCAAGAACAGCCCGACUUUGGAAAAGCUUUGAGUAUCAAGGAAGUCAAAGAGCCCAACUUUGUUAAUCAGAAAUUGGGCUGACUAGCUGUUUAUCAAUCUCAGCGUCAGCAAAAUAGAGCCAUGCCGCUCUUAUCAACAUCAAAAAGCACUCAUCAACUGUUCUACUUAAAAAAGAUAAUGGAAAAUGUUUGAAAGGACUCAACUUGUAUACGGCGUUCCUCAAGGGUUGUGCUUAGGACCUAUCCUGCUCCACAUUUAUGCGCGAGUUAACUUUUUGAUAGAAUGGAACAGCAUCUCCCGAAUGCGCAUGGCUAUGCAAUCGACUAAUAAAAAUACCUUUGGUUCCAAUCCACCGAUCAAGUGUCACAAUAUGUUGCCUUUUAGUAAAUUCAGACAUGUAUACGUGAUGUCAGGAAAUUGAUGCAUGCUAAUCAGCUUAAAAUCAAUGAUGGAAGACAUAGUUCAUGAAAACAGGACCGAAGCACAAUUCAAGCAAAUUGAACAUAUAUUCCAUAAAGAUUGGUGACGCUGAAUUAAACCAAGUCUGUUCCUUGAGAAACCUUGGUGCCAUGAUCAACAAAAUUUUUUCCAUGGAAAAAUCAAAGAAGGAGACAUGCUCCGCAGUUUUUAUUUAAUCCGAAGAAUCAGACAUACAAGUUAGUAUCUUGAUAUAAAAUCUACAGAGGCAAUGAUCUAUGCAUUCUCGGGAAUAAGCUCGAUUACUGCAAUAGUCUACUGUACGGUCUGCCAGAUUGCCAAAUACAGAAACUGAAACGCGUACAGAAUGCAGCAGCAAGUAUAGAAACCGGAAUAAAAAAGUAUGAUCCCAUCUCCCCCACAUUGAAGGAGCUGCAUUUGGCUUCCUGUACGGCAAAGAAGAAUUGCAUUGAAGAUAUUGCUGCUAACAUACAAGGCACUGGGUAACAUGGCCCCAUCUUACAUAGCAAAUAUGUUCUCUAUGCAGGCACAAACACAAUCUCUCUGGUUAAAUCCAUCUUUGCAGUUGAAUAUUCCAAAAACAAGAUGAAAAAAACACGUGGAGACGGAGCAUUUCCAGUCGCUGCUGCCACAUUGUGCAAUCGCCUACUUGUCGACAUUCGUAACUCCCUAAACAUUGAUACUGUUAAGUCUAGGUUAAAAUCAUUUCUAUUUUCUAUUGCUUUUAAAAUGUAUUUUUUCCGAAAUUUUCUUCUUGCUAAUAGGAACAUGUUUUUUUAUUUAGCUGUUAGGUAUUAUUUGAAAUGCCCCGAUGAAUAUAUAUUUGACAUAUUUUGCUUUUUUAAAACAAAAUAUGUUUAUUAUAAUUCUUAUUGA